rnacentral:lncRNA from 1 species
CCCACCUAGGUCUCCCAAAGUGCUGGGAUUACAGGCAUCAGCCACUGCACCCGGCUGUCACUUUUAUUUUUGAUGUUCAAAUUAUAAGCUAAUACCUGUGAGACCAUAGAUUCUUUUUAUGCACUCAAUACACUUUCUUGUUUACCUUAUAUUUGUAUUAUGGAAAAGUUCUGUUUUUUCCACUUGUUUAUAUUUGAUAAUGAAGCCCUCUGUGCCUAUCACCAGCCUCAGCCGCCAUCAUCUCAUUACCAAGCUGGGUUAUUUUGAAACAAAUAUCUUCUAAUAUUUAGCCGGUGUUCAAAUUUCCCUAACCAUCCUAAAGGAAUGUUUAGAACAGUUGUUUCAUUGGAAACAAGGUCAAAACAAAUACAUUUUACAUUUUUAGGCCAGUCUUGAAAGUAAGUGUAAAACCAUGUGUGGGGUAGGAGGUGGGACUAGACUCUCAAGGUGGGGCCUGGAUACCAGACCCAGUUGAGGACUAGCUAAGACAGAUUCCACAGUGAAUAACACCAGGAGGUGGGAAUAUUAAGGUCCAUUGUGAAGGAUGGCUACCACAAUUUUUUGAUCAACUAGUUAUCAACCCUGACUGAAGCUGAGAGAGAUUUGUUUUUUCUUUUUUUUCUUUUUUUUCAGAGACAGGGUCUUGCUACGUUGCCCAGGCUGGACUCAAACUCCUGGGCUCAGGUGAUUCUUCUGCCUUAGCCUCCUGAGUAGCUGAGACUACAGAAACUCCUGGAGGGCAGAGGCAUGCCUGCCAUCUUCAUCAUUGCAUUACCACCACCCAACACUAUCGGGGGACCUGCCCUGAUAAUCAGUCUACAGGUGUAUCCAGCAGCUCCAGAGAGACAGCGACCAGCGAGAAGGGGCCAUGAUGAUGGAGGUGGUUUUGUCAAAACGAAAAUGGGGAUAUGUAGGGAAAAGAAAGAGAGAUCAGACUGUUACUGUGUCUACAUAGAAAGGGAAGACAUAAGAGACUCCAUUUUGAAAAAGACCUGUACUUUAAACAAUUGCUUUGCUGAGAUGUUGUUAAUCUGUAGCUUUGCCCCAGCCACUUUGCCCCAACCACUUUGACCCAAUCUGGAGCUCAUAAAAACAUGUGUUGUAUGAAAUCAAGGUUUAAGGCAUGUAGGGCUGUGCAGGACGUGCCUUGUUAACCAAAUGUUUGCAAGCAGUAUACUUGGUAAAAGUCAUCACCAUUCUCUCAUCUCAAUAAACCAGGGGCACAAUGCACUGUGGAAAGCCGCAGGGACCUCUGCCCUUGAAAGCUGGGUAUUGUCCAAAGUUCCUCCCCAUGUGAUAGUCUGAAAUAUGGCCUCGUGGGAUGAGAAAGACCUGACGGUCCCCCAGCGCGACACCCAUAAAAGAUCUGUGCUGAGGUGGAUUAGUCAAAGAGGAAAGACUUGCAGUUGAGAUAGAGGAAGGCCACUGUCUCCUGACUGCCCCUGGGAACUGAAUGUCUCGGUAUAAAACACGAUUGUACAUUUGUUCAGUUCUGAGAUGGGAGAAAAACCGCCCUAUGGUGGGAGGCGAGACAUGUUUACAGCAAUGCUGCCUUGUUAUCCUUUACUCCACUGAGAUGUCUGGGUGGAGAGAAACAUAAAUCUGGCUUACAUGCACGUCCAGUCAUAGUACCUUCCCUUGAACUUCAUUAUGACAUGGAUUCUAUUGCUCACGUUUGUUGCUGACCUUCUCCUUAUUAUCACCCUGCCCUCCUACUACAUUCCUUUUUGCUGAAAUAAUGAAGAUAAUAAUCAAUAAAAACUGAGGGAAUUCA